rnacentral:tRNA from 1 species
UGAGUUGUGGCUCAGCAGUAGAGCGCUCAAUUAGCAUGUGCCAGGCACUGGGUUCGAUCCUCAGCAUCACAU